UACGUAGGGUGCGAGCGUUUAAUCGGAAUUACUGGGCGUAAAGCGUGCGCAGGCGGUUCGUGAUGUCUGGUGUGAAAGCCCCGGGCUUAACCUGGGAAUUGCAUUGGAAACUAGCGGGCUGGAGUGUGGCAGAGGGGGGUGGAAUUCCACGUGUAGCAGUGAAAUGCGUAGAGAUGUGGAGGAACACCGAUGGCGAAGGCAGCCCCCUGGGCUAACACUGACGCUCAUGACACGAAAGCGUGGGGAGCAAACAGG
rnacentral:rRNA from 1 species